rnacentral:rRNA from 1 species
GACGAACGCUGGCGGCGUGCUUAACACAUGCAAGUCGAACGGAAAGGCCCUGCUUUUGUGGGGUGCUCGAGUGGCGAACGGGUGAGUAACACGUGAGUAACCUGCCCUUGACUUUGGGAUAACUUCAGGAAACUGGGGCUAAUACCGGAUAGGAGCUCCUGCUGCAUGGUGGGGGUUGGAAAGUUUCGGCGGUUGGGGAUGGACUCGCGGCUUAUCAGCUUGUUGGUGGGGUAGUGGCUUACCAAGGCUUUGACGGGUAGCCGGCCUGAGAGGGUGACCGGCCACAUUGGGGCUGGGAUACGGCCCCGACUCCUACGGGGGGCAGCAGGGGGGAAUAUUGCACAAAGGGGGGAAGCCUGAUGCAGCAACGCCGCGUGGGGGAUGACGGCCUUCGGGGUGUAAACCGCUUUCGCCUUGGACGGAGGGGGAGGGAAGGGAAAGGGUAAAGAAAACACGGCUAACUACGUG